rnacentral:rRNA from 1 species
UACGAAGGGGGCUAGCGUUGUUCGGAAUUACUGGGCGUAAAGCGCGCGUAGGCGGUGAUCUUUGUCAGAGGUGAAAGCCCGGGGCUCAACUCCGGAAUUGCCUUUGAAACGGGAUCGCUAGAGUCCGAGAGAGGAUGGCGGAAUUCCUAGUGUAGAGGUGAAAUUCGUAGAUAUUAGGAAGAACACCAGUGGCGAAGGCGGCUCACUGGUCCGGUACUGACGCUGAGGUGCGAAAGCGUGGGGAGCAAACAGG